rnacentral:rRNA from 1 species
AAGGCGAUGAUGCAUAGCCGAGUUGAGAGACUGAUCGGCCACAAUGGGGACUGAGACACGGCCCAUACUCCUACGGGAGGCAGCAGUAGGGAAUCUUCCACAAUGGGCGCAAGCCUGAUGGAGCAACACCGCGUGAGUGAAGAAGGGUUUCGGCUCGUAAAGCUCUGUUGUUAAAGAAGAACAUGCGUGAGAGUAACUGUUCACGCAUUGACGGUAUUUAACCAGAAAGUCACGGCUAACUACGUGCCAGCAGCCGCGGUAAUACGUAGGUGGCAAGCGUUAUCCGGAUUUAUUGGGCGUAAAGAGAGUGCAGGCGGUUUACUAAGUCUGAUGUGAAAGCCUUCGGCUUAACCGGAGAAGUGCAUCGGAAACCGGGCGACUUGAGUGCAGAAGAGGACAGUGGAACUCCAUGUGUAGCGGUGGAAUGCGUAGAUAUAUGGAAGAACACCAGUGGCGAAGGCGGCUGUCUGGACUGCAACUGACGCUGAGGCUCGAAAGCAUGGGUAGCGAACAGGAUUAGAUACCCUGGUAGUCCAUGCCGUAAACGAUGAGUGCUAAAAUGUUGGAGGGUUUCCGCCGUUCAACGCCGGAGGUAACGCACUAAACACUCAGCGUGGGGGAGUACGGCCGCAAGGUUGAAAGUCAAAAGAAUAAACGAGGGCCCGCCCAACCGGUGGAGCAAGGAGUUUAAUUUGAAGAUACGAGAAGAACCUAACCAGGUCUCGACAUCUUGCGUUAACCUAAGAGAGAAGACGUUCCUUUCGGGGACGCAAUGACAGGUGGGGCAUGGUCGUCGUCAGCUCGUGUCGUGAGAUGUUGGGUUAAGUCCCGCAACGAGCGCAACCCUUACUGUUAGUUGCCAGCAUUAAGUGGGGCACUCUAGCAAGACUGCCGGUGACAAACCGGAGGAAGGUGGGGAGGACGUCAAAUCAUCAUGCCCCUCAUGACCUGGGGUACACACGUGCUACAAUAGACGGUACAACGAGUCGCAAGACCGCGAGGUUUAGCAAAUCAUCUUAAAACAGUUCUCAGUUCGGAUUGUAGGGUGCAACUCGCCCACAUGAAGUCGGAAUCGCUAGUAAUCGCGGAUCAGCACGCCGCG